GACGAACGCUGGCGGCGUGCCUAAUACAUGCAAGUCGAGCGAAGUUUUUCUGGUGCUUGCACUAGAAAAACUUAGCGGCGAACGGGUGAGUAACACGUAAAGAACCUGCCUCAUAGACUGGGACAACUAUUGGAAACGAUAGCUAAUACCGGAUAACAGUAUUUCUCGCAUGAGAGAUAUUUAAAAGUUGGCUAUGCUAACACUAUGAGAUGGCUUUGCGGUGCAUUAGCUAGUUGGUGGGGUAAAGGCCCACCAAGGCGACGAUGCAUAGCCGACCUGAGAGGGUGAUCGGCCACACUGGGACUGAGACACGGCCCAGACUCCUACGGGAGGCAGCAGUAGGGAAUCUUCCGCAAUGGGCGAAAGCCUGACGGAGCAACGCCGCGUGAGUGAAGAAGGAUUUCGGUUCGUAAAGCUCUGUUGUUAGGGAAGAAUGGAUAUGUAGUAACUAUACAUGUAAGAGACGGUACCUAACCAGAAAGCCACGGCUAACUACGUG
rnacentral:rRNA from 1 species